AUAUAAAAUAAACAACAACUAGAUUUUAACCCGCGGUAUACCGCGGGACGAUUUAUUUUUUAAAAGUAAUAUAUAUUAAAAUUUGCAAAUUUUAUUUUUAUAAAAUAUUUAUAUUUUACACUUUAUAAUUGUUAUUAAGUAAGACUAUACCACGAAUCUAUGAGACAAUUGUUAAAAAACUGAAGUUGUAACCUCUAUUAAAACAGCAUAUUAAUAAUAUUUUAAAAUUUUAUAAAUAUUGAUUCAAAUACAUCCACCAUAUAACCCAAUUCCAAAAUAAAACCCGUUCUAUAAUUUCUUUACCCCUCCCGUGAUUUUUUUUUUUAAAGUAGUAAUUUUUAAAAUUUAAGAAUUAUUUUUUAUAGAUAAAAGUUUUGCAAAUUAUAUCAUUCUCUAAUACAUUUAUAUUUUAUAUAUAGUAACAUUAUACAUACCACAUAACAUUUUUGGUUUUAUAUAAUCUUUUCUAAAUUAGGAUGAUUUGAUAUGUUUAAUAUUAGUGGUCUUAAAAAAUAAUAAAUUAAAGAUUUAACCCGUAUUGAAACGGUGUAUUAAUUAUAUUUUACUUUUUUAUUAAUGUUGAUUCAAAAACCCGUCACUCCAAAUCCGUCUUGCCAAAAAGCCAUUUAUUUUAUUAAUAUUAAUUUUAUUAAUGAUAUGACUCUGAAUUAUAAUCUAAACAUUUUAGCUAAUAACAUAGGAGUAUACCAUUUUUAUUUAAUAGGGGAAUGUACUAUAUAACCCGAAUGCACUUUUACCCCAAUCCACCAAAAAAGUCUUGCAAAAAUACUAUAGAAAUAAGAAACGAUAGUCGGUUUUGAUAGGUAUAAGAUUAGCAAAUAUAUUAGUUACCUUGAAUUAGUUAAAGAAUACAAAUUGAAAAGGUAUAUUACACUUUAUUCGAAUAUAGUAUCAAAACUUAUAUAACACAGAGAUUUGAUAAAAAAUUUAAUUGUUG
rnacentral:sRNA from 1 species